AUUGAACGCUGGCGGCAGGCCUAACACAUGCAAGUCGAACGAGUGGCGGACGGGUGAGUAAUGUCUGGGAAACUGCCUGAUGGAGGGGGAUAACUACUGGAAACGGUAGUUAAUACCGCAUACCAUCGGAUGUGCCCAGAUGGGAUUCGCUUGUAGGUGGGGUAAAGGCUCACCUAGGCGACGAUCCCUAGCUGGUCUGAGAGGAGGACCAAGCACACUGUAACAGAGGCACGGUCCAGACUCCUACGGCAGGCAGCAGUGAGGAAUAUUGCACACUGGGCGCAAGCCUGAUGCAGCCGUGCCGUGGGUAGAAGGAAGGCCGUCGGGUUGUAAAGUACUUUCAGCGGGGAGGGGUUACCCGCAGAAGAAGCACCGGCUAACUCCGUGCCAGCAGCCGCGGUAAUUC
rnacentral:rRNA from 1 species